rnacentral:rRNA from 1 species
GACGAACGCUGGCGGCAUGCCUAAUACGUGCAAGUCGAGCGAACAGAUGAAGUGCUUGCACUUCUGACGUUAGCGGCGAACGGGUGAGUAACACGUAAGGAAUCUACCUAUAAGCGGGGGAUAACAUUCGGAAACGGGUGCUAAUACCGCAUAAUAUCUUCUUCCGCAUGGAAGAAGAUUGAAAGACGGCUCUGCUGUCACUUAUAGAUGACCUUGCGGUGCAUUAGUUAGUUGGUGGGGUAACGGCCUACCAAGACGAUGAUGCAUAGCCGACCUGAGAGGGUGAUCGGCCACAUUGGGACUGAGACACGGCCCAAACUCCUACGGGAGGCAGCAGUAGGGAAUCUUCCGCAAUGGGCGAAAGCCUGACGGAGCAAUGCCGCGUGAGUGAAGAAGGCCUUCGGGUCGUAAAACUCUGUUAUAAGAGAAGAACAAAUUGUAGAGUAACUGCUACAGUCUUGACGGUAUCUUAUCAGAAAGCCACGGCUAACUACGCGCCAGCAGCCGCGGUAA